AAAAAGACAAAACUUGGAUUUCCGUGUCCAACGUUUGACCAUCCGUCUUAUUUAAAAAAAUAUAAAAAAAUUAAAAAGACAAGUCACGCAUAAAAUAUUAAUCAUGUUUUAUCAUCUAACAACAAUGAAAAUACUAAUUAUAAAAAAAUUUCAUAUAAAACAGACAGUCAAAUGUUAGAUACGGAAAUCUAGGGUUUGCCUUUUU
rfam:Oryza sativa Japonica Group DNA, chromosome 4, cultivar: Nipponbare, complete sequence.